rnacentral:snoRNA from 1 species
UCCCAAUGAAGAAACAUUUCACAUGUCUUACUUCCUGUCCUAGUCCCCAGAGCCUGUAAAGGUGAACCCACUGGGGCUGGCUGGGGGAGAAGAGGAAACUUUGUUUCAAAAGGAACUGUCUGAGGGAA